rnacentral:rRNA from 1 species
CCCUAUAGCCCUUCACCCUUUAAAAAAAAAAAAGUGAUGUAUGCAGUCAUAAAAUUCUUACCUGGUCAAAUACGUAUGAUAUCCUAUAUCCUAUAUAUUGUUUGGUUGGUUGUGUAGGCGAUAGGAAGAUUGGGAGCGAUAAG